rnacentral:lncRNA from 1 species
UAGAUAUCAUCGUCUGUUUUCCCCUACUUCUACCACCUCUGUCUGACCUGAAACUGGAUCUCCAACCACUUUGGAAUUCCUUUAGUCUUUUCGGCUGAGGAUUCGAACUGGUAGUUCCUGUACGCUUCCCGGUUGGUCUAACAACUUCAGUCUUUUUGUCGAGGCCCAGAACUUGUUCCACCAUUUUAGCUCGUUCAAUCAAAUCUACUAACUCAGUGAUCCGAUGAGAUACUAGCUGCACUUUGAUCUCGUCUCGUAAACCCCGUAAAAAUCUUUUACAACUAUCGACUUCUGUCGGAAUAAACUCGGAGGCAUAUCUGCU